UCAAGCAUCUAGAACUUCUCAAUAUCAGCAAUGGAGGAGAUUCAUCAUCAUCUUCUUCCUCUUCUUGUUCAAAUAUGGACUUUAUGAUUGAGGAGAUGUUAAAGAACAAUUCUCUGUGUCUGACCUCUUUGAGGCUAAUCGACUGUGGGGGUUUAAAAUGUCCUCGGCCAAGUAAUAUUAAUCUAGUUGAAGGGUCAGUUGGUCUAAAAGAUAUUGAGAUCUGGAAAUGCCCCUCCUCUCUCUUAGAGCGGGUAUUUGCGCAAACUAGGAGUUCCACACUUGAUAGACUAAGCUUAGGCCCUUUCUCAGAGGAUUUAGAUGAAUUUCCAUGGCCAUUCUCUUCUUCUUGCGUGGUUUCAUUUCAUAGUCUAAAGAAACUAUCAUUGGACGGGUGGAAAAAGGUUGAAUCAAUAUUCGGGCAACUUGAUAAUCGCCUCUCCUCCACCUUCCCUGCAUUAACUGAAUUGAGAAUAAAUAAUUUCAAAGGAGUGAAAGCUCUCUCAGAUUCAAUAGCAAAGCUUCCAUCUCUCGAGACGUUACUUAUAUUUGAUUGUGAGAAUUUGAAGACUUUGCCCCUGUUUGAAAAAUCGCAUCCUCUUCAGUUGCUAGAGACGGAAGGGUGUCCUCUUCUGAGAGAAAAAUAUAUGAAGGGACGGCCAGAAUGGUUCAGAAUUCAACAUAUUCCACGUAUACACUGGGAGGAAGAUUUUUGAAGCCAAUUGUGUCGUGCUCAUCGAAAUGUAUUUUGAUUUGCCAACGCUUUAAGUAUGGGUAUAACCAGUUAUGAGUACCUAGGGUAAAGAUCAAAGUGCAUUUCAGAGACUUGAGUUGUUAAAAAUCAGCAGAUGUCCGAAGUUGCAAAGAUUCUGGAAAAAUGUUUUCGGUUCUUGAGGAGUUAUAUGACAGCAACACAGUACUGGAAACAAUAAGCAGAAAGAUAAUUUUCCACAUUUUUCGGAAGAUCAUAAAAAUGUCAUGCAAGAAUCUGAAAGCUGUUCUGAUAACUCAACUCCUCAGGCUUCUGAAAGCGGAAGCAGAGCUGUGGAAGGGGUAAAAGUUCGAAAAGCAGUGAUAAGGAUGAAGAGAAACUGAAGGAUGUGGUACAUGUCAGAGUGAGAAGGGGCCACUGGCCCUCAAAUUUGCAGGCUGCAGUUGCAUAGACAGAUCUGAUGGUCCUCAUAAUAUGUGCGGAGAGUUGCUAAAAUUAGCGGCGAUAAAGGAAGGUAACGUGUCUUCACCAGCUAUUGUGCAGGUAAUUUGAAGUGGAGCUGAAGGAGGUCAAGUUGAGAGACAGCUACUAUGUGAUGGACCCUGAAAAGGCUGCAGAAAUGGUGGAUGAGAACACCAUUUGUGUUGCAGCUAUUCUAGGAUCCACUCUUAAUGGAGAAUUUGAAGAUGUUAGCUCUUAAAUGACCUCUUGGUUAAGAAAAAUGCAGAAACUGGAUGGGAUACACCAAUUCAUGUGCACGCUGCUAGCGGUGGGUUCAUUGCCCCAUUUCUUUACCUGGAACUGGAAUGGGACUUCAGCUUUUCUUCACAGCCUUGCCGUUGUCCACCUCAGUUGUCAACUUCUGUGUCACCUUACUUGGGAGUGUGUCAAGCUCCUCGAGGACCUGCUUGAUAUUUGUAACCAGGCGUUCAGUCAGAGUUUUUGAAAAGUCCUCGCGGAUAACUACACGAAGCACAGUAACAUGUUGGGCAUCAGGAGGCAUGGUGUAAGCUGGCACAAUCCAACCAUAACGCCUUAACAUGUCUGAGACUUCGAAUUCAUUGUGUAGGCUAUGAUUUUUCGGAGAGAAUUCAUUGUGAUUUUUGGCAUAGAUAUUGAUGGCUAGUUUCAAAUUUUUAAAACAACUCAUUUUUUAUUUUAUAAUGAAAAACAACUAAUAUUUGGGUCUUGCA